rnacentral:rRNA from 2 species
AAAUUGAAGAGUUUGAUCAUGGCUCAGAUUGAACGCUGGCGGCAGGCCUAACACAUGCAAGUCGAACGGUAACAGGAAGCAGCUUGCUGCUUCGCUGACGAGUGGCGGACGGGUGAGUAAUGUCUGGGAAACUGCCUGAUGGAGGGGGAUAACUACUGGAAACGGUGGCUAAUACCGCAUAACGUCGCAAGACCAAAGAGGGGGACCUUCGGGCCUCUUGCCAUCAGAUGUGCCCAGAUGGGAUUAGCUAGUUGGUGAGGUAACGGCUCACCAAGGCGACGAUCCCUAGCUGGUCUGAGAGGAUGACCAGCCACACUGGAACUGAGACACGGUCCAGACUCCUACGGGAGGCAGCAGUGGGGAAUAUUGCACAAUGGGCGCAAGCCUGAUGCAGCCAUGCCGCGUGUAUGAAGAAGGCCUUCGGGUUGUAAAGUACUUUCAGCGGGGAGGAAGGUGUUGUGGUUAAUAACCACAGCAAUUGACGUUACCCGCAGAAGAAGCACCGGCUAACUCCGUGCCAGCAGCCGCGGUAAUACGGAGGGUGCAAGCGUUAAUCGGAAUUACUGGGCGUAAAGCGCACGCAGGCGGUCUGUCAAGUCGGAUGUGAAAUCCCCGGGCUCAACCUGGGAACUGCAUUCGAAACUGGCAGGCUUGAGUCUUGUAGAGGGGGGUAGAAUUCCAGGUGUAGCGGUGAAAUGCGUAGAGAUCUGGAGGAAUACCGGUGGCGAAGGCGGCCCCCUGGACAAAGACUGACGCUCAGGUGCGAAAGCGUGGGGAGCAAACAGGAUUAGAUACCCUGGUAGUCCACGCCGUAAACGAUGUCUACUUGGAGGUUGUGCCCUUGAGGCGUGGCUUCCGGAGCUAACGCGUUAAGUAGACCGCCUGGGGAGUACGGCCGCAAGGUUAAAACUCAAAUGAAUUGACGGGGGCCCGCACAAGCGGUGGAGCAUGUGGUUUAAUUCGAUGCAACGCGAAGAACCUUACCUGGUCUUGACAUCCACAGAACUUUCCAGAGAUGGAUUGGUGCCUUCGGGAACUGUGAGACAGGUGCUGCAUGGCUGUCGUCAGCUCGUGUUGUGAAAUGUUGGGUUAAGUCCCGCAACGAGCGCAAC